UGAUGCUAUAUCCUUUCCAAGAUGACACCUUCCUAGAAUAACAGUAAUUAAUAUAUUUAUAUUUUUAAUCUUUGCCUUAUUUGCAAAUUUAAUAUCUGAAACCGCUCUCUAGGAUAUUAUUGAAGAAAAACAAACAUUAAAUAUUCACCUCCUCAGUUUUAAAUAUAUGUAUGCUAUUUCAAAAAUCUUUUAGACCGCCUGCCGGGUUCAAGCAAUUCUCUUGUCUCAGCCUCCCAAGUAGCUGGGACUACAGGCGUGCAUCACCACACCCAGCUAAUUUUUGUAUUUUUAGUAGAGAUGGGGUUUCACCAUGUUGGCCAGGAUGGUCACGAUCUCUUGACCUUGUGGUCCACCCGCCUCGGCUGCGCCCAUCCUGAAUAUUAAUUCUUAACCACUA
rnacentral:lncRNA from 1 species